rnacentral:tRNA from 1 species
GCCUUAGUAGUAUAAAAAUUACAUUGGUUUUGUAAACCAAAAACGAAGUAUCAUACUUCCUAAGACA